rnacentral:rRNA from 1 species
CAGUAGCCGCGGUAAUACGUAGGUGGCAAGCGUUGUCCGGAAUUAUUGGGCGUAAGGGGCUCGCAGGCGGUUUCUUAAGUCUGAUGUGAAAGCCCCCGGCUCAACCGGGGAGGGUCAUCGGAAACUGGGAAACUUGAGUGCAGAAGAGGAGAGUGGAAUUCCACGUGUAGCGGUGAAAUGCGUAGAGAUGUGGAGGAACACCAGUGGCGAAGGCGACUCUCUGGUCUGUAACUGACGCUGAGGAGCGAAAGCGUGGGGAGCGAACAGGAUUAGAGACCCCAGUAGUCCCUGUCUCUUAUAC